GACGAACGCUGGCGGCGUGCUUAACACAUGCAAGUCGAACGGAAAGGCCCUGCUUUUGUGGGGUGCUCGAGUUGCGAACGGGUGAGUAACACGUGAGUAACCUGCCCCUGACUUUGGGAUAACUUCAGGAAACUGGGGCUAAUACCGGCUAGGAGCUCCUGCUGCAUGGUGGGGGUUGGAAAGUUUCGGCGGUUGGGGAUGGACUGGCGGCGUAUCAGCUUGUUGGUGGGGUAGUGGCUUACCAAGGCUAUGACGGGUAGCCGGCCUGAGCGGGUGACCGGCUAAACUAGGAUUGGACUACGGCCCAGACUCGUACGGGAGGCAGAGGAGGGGAGGAGUGCACAGUGGGCUGAAGCCUGAUCCAGCAACGCCGCGUGCGGGAUGACGGCAAGCGGGUUGUAAAGCGCUUCCGCCUGUGACGAGGCGUGAGUGACGGUACUGGGUAAAGAAGCACCGGCUAACUACGUG
rnacentral:rRNA from 1 species